rnacentral:sRNA from 1 species
UGGAUUGAGGUGCCUGAGGUACUCUCUUUACUGUACAGUAUCGUUAGAAUUGGUAUAGCAUGGGCAAUAGCAGUGCAAGCUACCUUGCAUUGCCCAUCAAGGGGCCCCAGCCCUGACCUGGAGGACCACGUUUAGGGCUGAUAGAGGUUGAGGCUCCAUGCCCAUUUGAACUGUGGUGAUU